rnacentral:rRNA from 1 species
CAGCAGCCGCGGGAAUACGAAGGGGGCUAGCGUUGCUCGGAAUGACUGGGCGUAAAGGGCGCGUAGGCGGCGGCCAAAGUCAGGCGUGAAAUUCCUGGGCUCAACCUGGGGGCUGCGCUUGAUACUUGGUUGCUUGAGUGGGGAAGAGGGUCGUGGAAUUCCCAGUGUAGGGGUGAAAUUCGUAGAUAUUGGGAAGAACACCGGUGGCGAAGGCGGCGACCUGGUCCUUGACUGACGCUGAGGCGCGAAAGCGUGGGGAGCAAACAGGAUUAGAUACCCCCGUAGUCCCUGUCUCUUAUAC